rnacentral:rRNA from 1 species
GAUGAACGCUGGCGGCGUGCCUAAUACAUGCAAGUCGAGCGAACAGGCGAGGAGCUUGCUCCGUCGACGUUAGCGGCAGGCGGGUGAAUAACACGGGGGAACCGCCCUGAAAUUCGGGGUAAACCUGGGGAAAUCGGUAUCAAACCGGGUAGAACCUUUUUAACGACGGGGUUGUGGAGAGAAAUUCGGUUUGGGAUGAGCUUGUGGCGUAUCAGCUAGCUGGUGGGGUAAUUGCUUACCAAGGCGAUGAUAAGUAGACGACGUGAGAGGGUGAUAGGCCACACUGGAACUGAGACACGGUCAAGACUACUAAGGGAGGCAGCAGUAGGGAAUGUUACGCAGUGGGCGAAAGUAUGACGGAGUAAGGGCGCGUGAGUGAUGAAGGUCUUGGGAUCGUAAAACUCUGUUAUUAGGGAAGAACACAUUUGUAAGUAAACGUGCACGUAUUGACGGUACCUAGUCAGAAAGCAACGGCUAACUACGUG